rnacentral:rRNA from 1 species
UACGUAGGGGGCAAGCGUUGUCCGGAUUUACUGGGCGUAAAGAGCUUGUAGGCGGUUUGUCGCGUCUGCUGUGAAAUUUCGGGGCUCAACCCCGAACUUGCAGUGGGUACGGGCAGACUAGAGUGUGGUAGGGGAGACUGGAAUUCCUGGUGUAGCGGUGAAAUGCGCAGAUAUCAGGAGGAACACCGAUGGCGAAGGCAGGUCUCUGGGCCAUAACUGACGCUGAGAAGCGAAAGCAUGGGGAGCGAACAGG